UAGACCUGGAUGUUUUUGCUCUGGCAUAGAUAAAUAUGAACUCGUUGCUGGGCACCCGGCCUUGAGAAGUCGUCUUGACUUCCUCGACAGGCCGGGAAUCAGCUGUAGGCACAUAC